GCGGCGAUUGUCCAAUGGUAAGAUGUAAGCUUCCCAAGCUUAAGGCCCGGGUUCGAUUCCCGGUCGCCGCA
rnacentral:tRNA from 1 species